AGCUCAAAAAUCAAAUGACAACGAGGCAAGUCCAAAAGUUAAAAGAAGCGCUUUAUUUUAGCAGGUACCCUGUGGCAGUCUCUAUGCAGAGUGCAAAGAGAGAGUCCCG